AGUUUAUGGGGUUACUUUCACUUCAUUUUCAACUAUUCCUUUAAAAUCACCUAUAUGCUUAAGUAGUCCUAAAAAUAACGAAAAAAAACCUUUUAUCGGAUAUAUGUGUGCCUUAAAAAAAUAGCUCAGACUGUGAUGGUUUUUAAAAAAACUAAUUUAUUUUAAAUUUGGUAAUACAUAAACAAAAGAAGGAAAACUGCACUCAUAAAAACAUUUUUUAUGCAAUAAUAUAUUUCACUGUGGUCAUCAUAAACCCCAUCUCAAUGUAUUUUGUUAUACUGAAAUUCUGGCCAAUACCAAUAAGUAUUUUAAAAGCUACAUGUGAAUUUAAGCGUCACAACAAUACAAUCUCCAGUAUGAAAAUGUAUGUUAAUUAUGAGAUUUGCUAACACUACAUUCAUUUAAUUAUUAGUGCUUUUAAAGAUUAACCUUAGGUGAGCAUUAGAUGAUGCAGAUUAUCAAUUAAAGGCAAAAAUAAAAGAAAUUAGCAUAUGCUAUUUUAUAUAAAUAUAUAUAAUAUAUAUAUAAUAUAUAUAUAUAUAUAUAUAUAUAUAUAUAUAUAUAUAUAUGACUGGCUGAUGACCAAUGCAUAUGUCAUGAAUACAUCGCUAUAUAAAAAUAUGAACAGGAAUGACAAAGAGCAGGGUUGGUUUUGUUGGGCUACAUACACACGUGUUAUGAUUCAUAAUAUGAGGCAUGAUGAUAUCAUAAUUGGACUGUAGCAAAUACACAAAAUGACCCAACAUAUCCACCAGAUAUUCAGUGUAUAUAUAGUAUAUAUAUAUAUAUAUAUAUAUAUAUAUAUAUAUAUAUAUGUGUGUGUGUGUGUGUGUGUGUGUGUGUGUUUGUUUAGAAACACUGUAAACACAGACAUAAAGUGAAUUCUUGGAUCUAAUAUUCUGGUACGAUAUUGUUUUAAAAACAAGCAUAUAGACGGUUAGUUGGAAGUGUGAUAGGUCCAGCGUUUCUCAAAAGUUAUGUAAUUCACGACAGAACGCAAAAAUGCAAACAAGAUGCCAUCGGAAAUGCAAAUGAGAUGCCACUUGUUUUAUUUGCAUAGCCACACAGGACCGACCGGCUGAGUUAUUAGCUCAGCCGAGGUGCUCAGGUGCGGUCGGGUUGUGUUUACGUAUACAGCUUGUACGCGUUCCAAUAAUAGAAACGCCUACGGUGAGUGUUUACAGCGACAGAGAGAAAAGCUACAGGUCCAGAUGGCCCCCUCUCUCUUCACGCUGGGUCUUCCGUGCGCGCUGCUAUUUGAGCGAGAGCACCGGUCUAGAAACAGGUUUGACUUUCCCGAACCUGCUCUCCGUGCGGCCAGAGUGAACUGAACCGAGGAGCCAUGGCGGUCGUCGCUAAAGAUCACAGCCACGCGGGAACUGAUGUCACCGCGCCCGCCCGCACCCCCCGGACGAAAGAGCAAAUGUUCUUUUGAGAGAGAGAGAGAGAGGUUACAUAAGUCUGCUGACAGUUUCCACACCGCAACGCCUGAUACUGUGGAAAACAACGGAAUGAAACACACAAAAAAAAGGACAUUCGCCUUAAUAUAAAAGAACAAGAUUUAUUUUUUUUGCUAAAAGAAGCUUUUAAUAUUUCUUUUUUUGUUUCAGUAAUAUUUGCACCAUGAUAACGUGUAAAUAAUUUGCUGUAUUAUUCAAUUUACUGAUAUUAACACGGCACUGCAAAAGUCAGGCAUUAUGGGAAAAAACAUUUGGAGUCAUUUUUUUACAACAACUUUGACCUUAAAACCUUUAACGAGAUGCGAACUAAAAAAUAACUGGCAUAGGCAUUUGUUGAAGUCACGGGUUCGAAUAAUGAUAACUUUUUUUUCUUUUUGAACUUCACUGUUUGUGCCGAAAAACGACAUUACCCAGGAUGCUGCGAUGCAAACUGCUAAAAGACCCGGGCAGGGUGUACGCACACACGUCCCUGCACCGCCCAGCUCUGGGGAAACUGUGUCAUAACCAACAGCUGUUCGACUUCAAGGCGAGACGCUCCAAACUCUCCCAGCUGACUGCAGCAGGCCUGCUCCGACUGGUUAUUCCAGAACGCUGACAAAAACGUGACAUCACUUUCACCACGGAACAUGUUUCCACAUAAGCCUUCACAACUCAAAGUUCCUGGAUCUACGAGCGGCUUUCCGCCUCAUAACAUCACCGAUUUAAA